UGGGGAAUAUUGCACAAUGGGCGCAAGCCUGAUGCAGCCAUGCCGCGUGUAUGAAGAAGGCCUUCGGGUUGUAAAGUACUUUCAGCGAGGAGGAAGGCAUUAAGGUUAAUAACCUUAGUGAUUGACGUUACUCGCAGAAGAAGCACCGGCUAACUCCUGCCAGCAGCCGCGGUAAUACGGGGGUGCAAGCGUUAAUCGGAAUUACUGGGCGUAAAGCGCACGCAGGCGGUUUGUUAGUCAGAUGUGAAAUCCCCGGGCUCAACCUGGGAACUGCA
rnacentral:rRNA from 1 species